rnacentral:rRNA from 1 species
GAUUGAUGGGAGCUUGCUCCCUGAUAUCAGCGGCGGACGGGUGAGUAACACGUGGGUAACCUGCCUKUAAGACUGGGAUAACUCCGGGAAACCGGGGCUAAUACCGGAUWACUCAUUUCCUCGCAUGAGGAAAUGUUGAAAGGUGGCUUUUAGCUAUCACUUACAGAUGGACCCGCGGCGCAUUAGCUAGUUGGUGAGGUAACGGCUCACCAAGGCAACGAUGCGUAGCCGACCUGAGAGGGUGAUCGGCCACACUGGGACUGAGACACGGCCCAGACUCUACGGGAGGCAGCAGUAGGGAAUCUUCCGCAAUGGACGAAAGUCUGACGGAGCAACGCCGCGUGAGUGAUGAAGGUUUUCGGAUCGUAAAGCUCUGUUGUUAGGGAAGAACAAGUGCCGUUCGAAUAGGGCGGCACCUUGACGGUACCUAACCAGAAAGCCACGGCUAAUACGUGCCAGCAGCCGCGGUAAUACGUAGGUGGCAAGCGUUGUCCGGAAUUAUUGGGCGUAAAGCGCGCGCAGGUGGUUCCUUAAGUCUGAUGUGAAAGCCCACGGCUCAACCGUGGAGGGUCAUUGGAAACUGGGGAACUUGAGUGCAGAAGAGGAAAGUGGAAUUCCAAGUGUAGCGGUGAAAUGCGUAGAUAUUUGGAGGAACACCAGUGGCGAAGGCGACUUUCUGGUCUGU